GACGAACGCUGGAGGCGUGCUUAACACAUGCAAGUCGAACGAUGAACCCGGAGCUUGCUCCGGUGGAUUAGUGGCGAACGGGUGAGUAACACGUGAGUAACCUGCCCUUGACUCUGGGAUAACUGCGGGAAACUGUAGCUAAUACCGGAUACGACCCUCGGCGGCAUCGCCAGGGGGUGGAAAGAAUUUCGGUCAAGGAUGGACUCGCGGCCUAUCAGCUAGUUGGUGAGGUAACGGCUCACCAAGGCGACGACGGGUAGCCGGCCUGAGAGGGUGACCGGCCACACUGGGACUGAGACACGGCCCAGACUCCUACGGGAGGCAGCAGUGGGGAAUAUUGCACAAUGGGCGCAAGCCUGAUGCAGCAACGCCGCGUGAGGGAUGACGGACUUCGGGUUGUAAACCUCUUUUAGUAGGGAAGAAGCGAAAGUGACGGUACCUGCAGAAAAAGCACCGGCUAACUACGUGCCAGCAGCCGCAGUAA
rnacentral:rRNA from 1 species